AUCUCUGUCGAUAGUGCUUUUCAACAUUGGGUUGUAAUUAUUUAACAGUUUACCCUACAAAUUUGAGCACCCCCAAAACAAAGACCAUGAGUUAUUCAUCUUCAUAUCACCAGCAUCAAGGAAGCAUUUGGUUAAAUGCUUUGCUCAUUGUCUACUAGGUACCACAUAAAUAAGUAAUCAUCCAUAUUCUUGAUAUGGCUUCAGUAAUUAAGUCCAUUGCUCACUCCCUUGGUGUAUAUGACAACAAAUAUGAGGCUAGAUUCCUUAAUUUUCCCUGACAUUUCCAUUCAUUCUCUCUUUCACUAUGCUCUACGUUUUACGAGUUUCUAGAUCCGAAUGGGUCUUGUCUUCAUGUAUUAAAAUCAUAGCACUUUAAUAAUCUGGUAAGUAAAUUAGAAACUAUCAGUUCUAAUACCUCCCCUUUUUCUUGCAGCAAUUCCUCAUUGCUUUUGUUGUUGUUAGUGCAACUGAGUCGAUUCCAAAUCCUAGUGACCCUAUGUCCAGUAGAGUAGAACCCUGCCCGGUCUUUUUGUGCCAUCCUCUCACCUUCUGCAGCUCUAUCAGGCAGUGCUCCUCUGCUAUUCAUAAGGUUUUCAUGGCCAAUUUUUUUCAGAAGUAGGUGACCAGGUCUUUCUUCCUAGUCUGUCUAGACUGAAGCUCUGCUGAAACCUGUCCACCAUGGGUCACCCUGCUGGUAUUUGAAAUACCGGUAGCAUAGCUUUGAGCAUCACAGCAAUGUGCAACUGUCACGCCUUAGAUACAGGCAGGAGGCGUAGUGGAAAGCACUGGCCUACCCCGAGGGAGCCCUCCACUGUGGUUUCUCACUGGCUAGGUAAAGAUGAUGUUUCAGCUGCUUUGUUUCUCUAAUGGUGCCAGUUUACCAAAAUUAAAAGUGACAAACGCUUUUUAAAAGUAACAAAAGAAGGCAAGGUGGCAUUAAUAAACCCCACUUGGAAUGAACAAAGCCCGGAAAUAAGUUGCAAGCGUGAACAAAUGAAGGUCUCCAGGGAAAACUGCUGCCACUCCCUGGUAAACGCUGAACAGGACCCGAGAGCUGGCUGGGCUGGAUAAUCUGCUCCCAUCUCACCACCCUGCGCACUUAAAAAAACAAACAAGACAAAAGAAGAGGCCGAUAUAAUACAUUCUAGGAAAUCAUGGAGAAAAGUGAGUUACCUACAUCUUCAAGGACAGAAGAAUCACCUGGGGAAAAAAUGUUGCUCAGCCGCUUUCUCCUGGGUUCCCUUUUACUGACUUGAACCUUGAGAUUCCUUCCUGGGAGAUUAAUUACAGGGAUGGCUACGCAACAUGCCACAGAUGAAUCCAGAAGAGAAGACCUUCUUACACCAUGAAAUCAAAGCCACAUGUAGGGAUGUGUGUGAGCGCUGGAGAACGCUGCAGGGCUUCCAGCAACGAGCAAUGCUCCUCCAGCCCUCCUGCACCCCAGCCCCACCAGUAACACAUUUGGCGAAAAAAGAAAAAUUCAUUGAAAUGUUAAGGGAGAGAAUAAAAACUGGGAGUUGAUUUUUUAAAAACGCUCAUCUAAAUUCAAAAUAGGAUGCCUAUUACUAUAAAACAAUCUAGACAGUGUGUCACUGACAGUCACCAAGUUGAGAGUGAGAGCUGCAGAGGCAGUUUAGAGGAGGGAAAAAAAUUAAGACUCCAAAUUUAGCACAGUUAAGGUUUGGGGUUGUGGGGCUCCAUCAGCAGAAAAAAAAGGCUGCAAAGAAAUUUAAGUUGUCAUUUGAACUGGCAGCUUCUUGCAGUGUACAGAAAGUGUGGGUGCUAAGAUAUCAAAUGAUUUAAAAGAAGUUUUUAAAAAUACUAGCUAUUGCCUAAAAUCCUCGUCAAUAAAAAUAGCAACGCAUAGAGAAAACGCAUGAACGUUUUGAGAGUCGGACUGAGAGGUCCGGGUCUUAUCAGGGCUGUGAUUUUUGAAGGACAAGUGGAACGGCCAAAGUAGAUUUGAAUAUCAUUCCAAUAAAUGAAGCAGACAGACAGACAGGGAGUCGGUCAUUAGAGACAGAAAGGGUAGUAACAAUCAACAGGAAGCCGAGAGAGAUUCAAGGGCUACAGUGACGGUGAGAGCCGGGGCCCAUCGGGAAGGAACUCGAACCCAGGACUCCUGCCUCUCAAGUCAGCAUUUUCUACUGACCUAUCACCAAAGAACUCAAAUCACAUCAACAUCAAGUUCUGGAAAUCUACUAUUGCUAGCAUAGUGCCUAUAGCUAAUACUGCGUUGUAUACUUAAAAUUUGCUAAGGGAAUAGUUCUUAAGUGUUCU